CGCGCCCGGCCGCUGCCGCCGGACGCUUGAAAAGGAACAAGAGGAUUUAUCUGACUCAACUGGAGAUGGCUCCCUUCCCUAAUUUAUUGUUGCAUCCUGAAGCUUCCCCCAUGCUGGGCUCAGUGUGAACAAACAGCGCGGGAGAAUGCAACCACUGCAGAGGUACAAGUUCACAGAGGCAGAGCCGCCCCUCGACUGGGCCAGAGGCAAAGACAAACCCCAACCUCUUUCUUGUCAUUCAUUGAAUUUUGCUGAACCUGGAAAGGAAAUAAAUUCCAAAGGCAGGAAGUGACCCAGAGACCAUAACAAUAUGUGAAAAGCUUAGCCGGUGUUUCCGCCCCUUUGUUUCAAACUAUUCUAAUCUGUGUCCCAGGAAGCCUAGCCCAUGGCCAGAUGGAGAUCUGUUUUCAGAUGCCUCCUGGCAUCUGCCACUCCCGGCUGGUGACAUUUGCACAUUUCAGAAGGCAAACCUGUCCCAACAUCUUCAAACUUCCAGAGAGGUGUAGCACCAGGAAAGUCCUUGGGUCUCCGGCUGACAGCACCAACCAGCUGAUUUGCUUCAUCUGCAGCUGAACUGCUGCUGGACUCCAGCCUAGAACACUAGUGCACACCGGGUUUGUUCUUGAAGAUUUGCAGAUUCUGAAAUCAAAAUGCCCUGUGUUGCCAGAAAAGGCUGGCUCCCUUGCCUGCUUCAUAAUCCCUUCUCACCAGGCUUUCCUAAAGAAACUCAAUGAGUCAGGAAGGAAGAAAACAUGUCUGAGGGAGAUCUGGAGGCAUAUGUUUGAGAUGCCUGGCCACUGGAGGUCAUCUCGUCUACUAUGUUCACCACAGAUAAAGAAUGAAAAGAGAAUAUACAACCUUGUGAUUGCUAGCAGUGAAAGCUCAGAGUUAUGACAUAACAAAGAGGGGCUUGAGCAGAGAGAAUGCUUAGAGGCUAAGCGAUGGGCAAGUGAGAGGGAAAGAGCCGCGACAGACAGAGCUGGCUGCCUAGGGGUCUCAGAGGCUUCAUCCUGCAGGCGGCAGGCGGCAGGACAAAGGGACCUUCGCACUCGAGAUCAAGAUUCCAAGGAGUUAAACGCUACCACGCAGCCCGACCUGGAUGGGAUUUGCUCCUGGGUACAAAACGGGACACUGAUCAAAAUCAACUUGGACAAGUGACAAGAGUGAGUCUUAUGUCGGUGGAUGUCUUUUAAGGUCGUUGGAGGGAAGAGGACGGGAGGGGUGUGCCGAGGGGUAGGUGGAGAGAGGCACCGAGUCCAGAGCCGGGAUAUAAAUGCACCAGGAGCCGGGGAGCAGAGGAGCAAAUGAGUGGGGGAAAGAGUGAGAGGAAGAGUUGGAGAAAAGUCGGGGGAAAGUAGGGACAGGGUUAAGGGGAGAGAGGAGGAUGAGGGCGGCGAGGAGAGAUUAAAAGGGGAAGGGGGGUCGCUGGAGAGGAGGGCGGACUGUGGAUCGGAGGUAGGGAGAGGGGCGAGGGGAGUGCGCG
rnacentral:lncRNA from 1 species